rnacentral:rRNA from 1 species
GACGAACGCUGGCGGCGUGCCUAAUACAUGCAAGUCGAGCGAGCGAAACUAACAGAUUUACUUCGGUAAUGACGUUAGGAAAGCGAGCGGCGGAUGGGUGAGUAACACGUGGGGAACCUGCCCCAUAGUCUGGGAUACCACUUGGAAACAGGUGCUAAUACCGGAUAAGAAAGCAGAUCGCAUGAUCAGCUUUUAAAAGGCGGCGUAAGCUGUCGCUAUGGGAUGGCCCCGCGGUGCAUUAGCUAGUUGGUAAGGUAAAGGCUUACCAAGGCGAUGAUGCAUAGCCGAGUUGAGAGACUGAUCGGCCACAUUGGGACUGAGACACGGCCCAAACUCCUACGGGAGGCAGCAGUAGGGAAUCUUCCACAAUGGACGCAAGUCUGAUGGAGCAACGCCGCGUGAGUGAAGAAGGUUUUCGGAUCGUAAAGCUCUGUUGUUGGUGAAGAAGGAUAGAGGUAGUAACUGGCCUUUAUUUGACGGUAAUCAACCAGAAAGUCACGGCUAACUACGUG